CCUCCACGGCCCCGCCAUCGUGCCUGAGCCCCUCUCGGGCGACGCCGCCAAGCCCCCCCCCGACCCCCGGAACCCACUCGCAGAGGGACCUGGCCCUUAUGGCGGAGGCCGUGAGGCGCAGUGACUUCCUGCGACGUUUGGGAGAGGGCCGCCCCGAGGCUCUGGCGCGGAGCCUUCGUGACUGUGCGACGCGAGGACGGCGACGCGGUGGUGGCCGAGGGCGGCGAAGGGAAGGCCAUGAACAUCGUGGCAGCGCUCGGCCCCGUGCACCUCUGGGCCAUUGACAGGCAGCGGUUCCGUGCCAUCACAACCGGCAACGCCUGGCAGCGGCGGGCCGAUG